UACGAAGGGGGCAAGCGUUAUUCGGAAUUAUUGGGCGUAAAGGGCGCGUAGGCGGCUUGGCAAGUGGAAGGUGAAAUCCCUCGGCUUAACCGAGGAACUGCCCUCCAAACUGCUUCGCUUGAGACCGGGAGAGGUGAGUGGAAUUCCCAGUGUAGCGGUGAAAUGCGUAGAUAUUGGGAGGAACACCAGUGGCGAAGGCGGCUCACUGGACCGGUACUGACGCUGAUGCGCGAAAGCGUGGGGAGCAAACGGG
rnacentral:rRNA from 1 species